GGGAAAAUGGGGCACAACUCACUUAACUGCCUUGUUUAGUAACAUAAAUUUUGGGUUCAAUUGUGCCCAUCUGUUGAUGAGUGGUACUAAGUGGUAAUUUCAGAGGUUGAAAUGCAAUUGAAAAAAAGUGACUUCUCCAUUAACCUAAAAAGCAGGUUUAGAAAUUAUUGCCCCAAACUUCGACAAUAAGAAAAUGACAUAAGUCCUGAUUUCAAGACUAGUGCUGAGAUUUGGUUAGUUGCCUUCAAAACACUGAUGAAAUUCAUCAUGCUCAUUUUACUUAUGAACAAUCCUUUUGGUUACAAUACAGAAGUGGGACGCCAGUGCAUUUUUCUAAGGUGUUUUAACUCCUUAGUUAGUCUUUUAAUCUUGAGAUUUCUUAAAUCUUUCAUCCACCUACUAACCAAGCCCUACCCAUUUUAGCUCCUGAGUCCACCUGUGGACAAGGAUAGUAUAUUAGACUUCUGAUUUAACUUACAAAGAUCUACUGGGGGAAAAAUCAAAUCAGUGCCAACUGUGUCAAUGCAUAACAACUAAUUCCCCUUACAUGAUAUUUGCACAUGAUCCCUUUCCACCACAUUUUCAUUGUUCAGCUCAAAUCCCUUUUGCUAAAUAUUAAGAGCCUCAAAGUACAGAAGUUUCUCUGAACACGAAGAAAAUAUUUUCUUCUCACCAAUAUGUUAACAUUGACUCCUCUACCUGUGUACACACAUUGGAAAGUAAGUGGAAACAAUUUGGAGACGCCUCAAACCCUGGAAUUAAGCGGCACAUAAAUUGCAACAAUAAAUAUAUAACUGAUCAAAAUUGAGAACUAACUAUAGCCUGCUCCUGAUGUUACCAGCCCAGGAAAACCUUAAAUAUUCUUGAAGAGAGGCAUACCUUUGGGCAUGUGCAGAGUGAUACAAAACUCAAUCUCAGACAUUAGAUACCAAAAGAGCUUCAAGGAUAUUUCAUUUUUUUCUGGGAGAGGGCUGGAUGAUAACUUCCCACAGACUUCUACUCUGAUUGCAAUUAGUGCCUGGAAAUUAUGGCCACUUUAAACCCAAUCCAGAUGAAGGGCACCCAUGCAGGGAAAGUGGCUUGGAUCAAAAGAUGGAAGACUUCUAAAUGCUUAAAAAGCUGCUGCGUAAAAGAUGGAGAGACGCUAACAGUAAAUGGUCUUGAGCUAAAUACAGCUCUUCUAUUUCAGGGUAAGGUAGCUUUCUAUCAAAAAAUGAGUAGGAGAAAAUUAUUUCAUCAAGUAAAUGGUACUAGCUAGUAAGUACAUGAUUUUUCAGCUGCAAAGCUGCAAAGAAGGAUUUGAAUUACCUUUAUAAAUUUCACAUUGACAAGUGGAUUAACCAUAACCAUAAGGAAAUAUUUAAACGGUCUCAUUAUUUCUUUAAAUGUAAAGCCCAUUAAAAACACCUGGGGCUAUUUUAUCCAAAAUAUAUCUGGAUGAAUAACCAUGUCUUAGAGCUAUUGCAUGGGUCUAAAUGGGAUCAGAGGCAGCCAUUCUUAUCCAGAAAGAGAAUUUCACAAAUUGGGGGGAGGGGGGGAAGGACACAGUAGGUAAGGCAGUAACUCUAUGUCAGAGUUUUGGCAAUGUAACUAUUAUGAGAUAAACCCAGGAGCAAUACACAGCACACACGGAACCUUUAGACAAUAGUAGUUUAUAUACAAAAUAUAUACAGAAUAUACAUGCAGGAGAUAAAUUCCCUUACCACUCAGCUCGGACACAAGGAGAGAAAAUGAAAUACAUGAUGAGAGAGAGGAAUGCCCUCUAAUGAACACCUAUACAUAUAGACACCUUGUUGCAUCAGUCUUGCCUUACAUUGCAUCAUAUUACAAAUUACAGUUUACAACCUUUCAUCAGCUGGCAGCUGUUAAAUCCUCAGUACCUUGACGCUCUACUGUGAGUCGACUCCAUGGUUAGAAUUUUGUGUACGGUCUAAGUGGAUGAAAUUAAUUCCAAACGAUCGGUGAUGUUGGUGGGAGAUUUUAAGUCUUUGAGACUUAAGCUUUGAAUUUUGCCUUUAGCUCACAGGCAGCCAGUGCAAUGAUUUAAGGACUGUUGGAAUGGAAUCUCAAAUAGCAGCCCCAUUUAUAUUGUCAUGACUUAGGAAACAGACAGUGACUGAAUGUGAAGAAGCUGUUACAACUUGUGAAAUGUCGACCUCAGGAGAAACAAACUCAAUCAAAUGAAACAAAUCAAACAAAGGCACUAUCUGAAUAGCUGAAGAAGCCAGAUGAGGGUGUCAACAUAAGAUCUACCAGCCUCCACAACCCAGCAAGCAGAGUGAAAUGAAACUGACAUUUCUAUGAAGUUCCUUGCCAAGCACAAAAUGCAUCGCUUGAUUAGAGGUAUUCCUGAGUCAUGAUCCCUUGGAAGCAACUAUCUAUAUAAUCUUUAGCUAUUGUGUGAUACUUGUAUGUGGAUUCUGCUCAUGAAAUUCUGACCUGGAUCUUGGAUCUCUGGACUGGAUUUGGACUACACUUCUGUGUGCUGCCAUUAAAGAAAACCCACUUAAGCAAACUUCUUUCAGAUUCUGUUUUGGCUUGUAAUCUUUAUCUGCUCUUACUUUUUGGGCUUGAGUAAACUAUUUCCCAUAGCAACUUUUUGAGUGAGUGUUUAAUUGGAACCAGAAGCAGGACAAUUAUCAACCAAACUGCUCUUCCACUGUUACAAGAUCUUCUCCAUUAAAACGUUUUUCUAUUAUCUUAUGUAUGAGAUGUAUCAACUUAUUA